CCUGGCUCACCGUAUAUAAGCCGGGGUGGGAGAAGACCACCUUCAGACAGCUUCCAUCCCUCCUGCCUUCUAAAUCAUCUCUCUACGCUCCCUCCAACAAUGAAGACCGUCGCCAUCUUGCUCUGCGUAGUUGCUGGCGCCGCUGCGUCGCCGCAGGGCUUUUUCCCGGGACGUCUGUUUGGUCAGAACAGCCAGGCGACCGGAAAUGCCGCCGGCAAUGUGGUGUCUGGGGUCAGCAGUGGUCCCUUCCAGAAUUCCCGGAUCACGCAAGUCAGCGCCACCGCCUCAGGUUCUGCUCGAGGCAAUGCUGUAAGCUCCAACUCCGCCAGCGCCACCAACGCUGUUUCCUCGGGACUGUUUGGCAACCAGGAGUUCUCAAACACCAACGCCGUCUCCAACCAGCAGACGUUCGGUGGUGGACUUCGCGGAAGUUACCAGCGGCCGAUCGGUCAAUUCCGGCGGCAGUACCGCAGGCCGAACUUCUUCUAGUGUUAGUUUAAUAGACUAAUAGCCGCUGAAACUGUUUUGCAUUUGUGCAUUGCGCAAGACCUGUGUAUCGCGACCAAAGUGGCACCUUAUGACAUAUUAGAGAUGAGUGUUCGUAACCGAUGUACUGACUUUCGUAUAGUUACCACAUCCAUGAUCUUGCUUGUAUUUCAUCGUUGCAGCUAAAAUAAAUUGACUUCAUUGAUUA
rnacentral:lncRNA from 1 species